rnacentral:rRNA from 1 species
UGGAGCCUGCGGUUUAAUCGGACUCAACGCCGAGAAACUCACCAGAUAAGACAGCUGAAUGAUAGUCGGGCUGAAGACUCUACUUGACUAGCUGAGAGGAGGUGCAUGGCCGUCGUCAGUUCGUACUGUGAAGCAUCCUGUUAAGUCAGGCAACGAGCGAGACCCACGCCAACAGUUGCCAGCUCGUCCUCCGGGAUGGUGGGGACACUGUUGGGACCGCCUCUGCUAAAGAGGAGGAAGGAAUGGGCAACGGUAGGUCAGCAUGCCCCGAAUUAUCUGGGCUACACGCGGGCUACAAUGGGUGGGACAAUGGGUAUCAACACCGAAAGGUGAAGGCAAUCUCCUAAACCCAUCCGUAGUUCGGAUUGUGGGCUGCAACUCGCCCACAUGAAGCUGGAAUCUGUAGUAAUCGUGUCUCAAAAUGGCACGGUGAAUAUGUCCCUGCUCCUU